rnacentral:rRNA from 1 species
GUCUGUUUCCACAGGCCUUGACGGUACCGAUUGAAUAAGGCCCGGCCAACUUCGUGCCAGCAGCCGCGGUAAUACGGAGGGUCCAAGCGUUAUCCGGAUUCACUGGGUUUAAAGGGUGCGCAGGCGGGCAAGUAAGUCAGUGGUGAAACCCUUCGGCUCAACCGGAGAAUUGCCUUUGAAACUAUUUGUCUUGAGUCCAGCAGAGGUAGUCGGAAUGUAGCAUGUAGCGGUGAAAUGCAUAGAUAUGCUACGGAACACCGAUAGCGAAAGCAGCUUACCGCACGGUAACUGACGCUGAGGCACGAAAGCAUGGGUAGCAAACAGGAUUAGAUACCCUGGUAGUCCAUGCCGUAAACUUUGAACACUCGGAGUUUGCCACUUAGUGGUACAGCUGGCCUAGCGAAAGCGUU